UGCCCCCAUGUCUAACAACAUGGCUUUCU
rnacentral:piRNA from 1 species